rnacentral:rRNA from 1 species
AUUGAACGCUGGCGCCAGGCCUAACACAUGCAAGUCGAACGAGUGGCGGACGGGUGAGUCAUGUCUGGGAAACUGCCUGAUGGAGGGGGAUAACUACUGGAAACGGUAGCUAAUACCGCAUACCAUCAGAUGUGCCCAGAUGGGAUUAGCUUGUUGGGGGGGUAACGGCUCACCAAGUCGACGAUCACUAGCUGGUCUGAGAGGGGGACCAGCCACACUGGAACUGAGACACGGUGCAGACUCAUACGUGAGGCAGCAGUGGGGAAUAUUGCACAAUGGGCGCAAGCCUGAUGCAGCAAUGCCGCGUGAAUGAAGAAGGCCUUCGGGUUGUAAAGUACUUUCGGCGGGGAGGCGUUACCCGCAGAAGAAGCACCGGCUAACUCCGUGCCAGCAGCCGCGGUAAUUC